rnacentral:rRNA from 1 species
AGUGAACGCUGGCGGCAGGCCUAACACAUGCAAGUCGAGCGGCAGCGCGUCCGACCACCCUCGGGUGGUCGGAUGGCGGCGAGCGGCGGACGGGUGAGGAAUGCAUCGGAAUCUGCCUCGUUGUGGGGGAUAACGUAGGGAAACUUACGCUAAUACCGCAUACGACCUACGGGUGAAAGUGGGGGACCUUCGGGCCUCACGCGAUGAGAUGAGCCGAUGCCGGAUUAGCUAGUUGGCGGGGUAAAGGCCCACCAAGGCGACGAUCCGUAGCUGGUCUGAGAGGAUGAUCAGCCACACUGGAACUGAGACACGGUCCACGACUCCUACGGGAGGCAGCAGUGGGGAAUAUUGGACAAUGGGGGCGAACCCUGAUCCAGCCAUGCCGCGUGUGUGAAGAAGGCCCUCGGGUUGUAAAGCUCUUUUGUCCGGAAAGAAAAGCAAUCGGUUAAUACCCGGUUGUUCUGACGGUACCGGAAGAAUAAGCACCGGCUAACUUCGUGCCAGCAG